rnacentral:rRNA from 1 species
GAAAGAAAGAUUAAUACCCGAUGGCAUAGUUCUUCCGCAUGGUAGAACUAUUAAAGAAUUUCGGUCAUCGAUGGGGAUGCGUUCCAUUAGGUUGUUGGCGGGGUAACGGCCCACCAAGCCUUCGAUGGAUAGGGGUUCUGAGAGGAAGGUCCCCCACAUUGGAACUGAGACACGGUCCAAACUCCUACGGGAGGCAGCAGUGAGGAAUAUUGGUCAAUGGACGAGAGUCUGAACCAGCCAAGUAGCGUGAAGGAUGACUGCCCUAUGGGUUGUAAACUUCUUUUAUACGGGAAUAAAGUGAGGCACGUGUGCCUUUUUGUAUGUACCGUAUGAAUAAGGAUCGGCUAACUCCGUGCCAGCAGCCGCGGUAAUACGGAGGAUCCGAGCGUUAUCCGGAUUUAUUGGGUUUAAAGGGAGCGUAGGCGGACGCUUAAGUCAGUUGUGAAAGUUUGCGGCUCAACCGUAAAAUUGCAGUUGAUACUGGGUGUCUUGAGUACAGUAGAGGCAGGCGGAAUUCGUGGUGUAGCGGUGAAAUGCUUAGAUAUCACGAAGAACUCCGAUUGCGAAGGCAGCCUGCUGGACUGUAACUGACGCUGAUGCUCGAAAGUGUGGGUAUCAAACAGGAUUAGAUACCCUGGUAGUCCACACAGUAAACGAUGAAGACUCGCUGUUUGCGAUAUACAGUAAGCG